AGUGAACGCUGGCGGUAGGCCUAACACAUGCAAGUCGAACGGCAGCACAGUAAGAGCUUGCUCUUACGGGUGGCGAGUGGCGGACGGGUGAGGAAUACAUCGGACUCUACUUUUUCGUGGGGGAUAACGUAGGGAAAUUUACGCUAAUACCGCAUACGACCUACGGGUGAAAGCAGGGGAUCUUCGGACCUUGCGCGAUUGAAUGAGCCGAUGUCGGAUUAGCUAGUUGGCGGGGUAAAGGCCCACCAAGGCGACGAUCCGUAGCUGGUCUGAGAGGAUGAUCAGCCACACUGGAACUGAGACACGGUCCAGACUCCUACGGGAGGCAGCAGUGGGGAAUAUUGGACAAUGGGCGCAAGCCUGAUCCAGCCAUACCGCGUGGGUGAAGAAGGCCUUCGGGUUGUAAAGCCCUUUUGUUGGGAAAGAAAAGCAGCAGGUUAAUACCCCGCUGUUCUGACGGUACCCAAAGAAUAAGCACCGGCUAACUUCGUG
rnacentral:rRNA from 1 species